UACGGUGUGGCUCAGAGGUAGAGCACUUGCCUAGCAGGUAGAAGGCCCUGGGUUUGAUUCCCAGUACCACAA
rnacentral:tRNA from 1 species